rnacentral:rRNA from 1 species
AUGAACGCUAGCUACAGGCUUAACACAUGCAAGUCGAGGGGAAACGACAUCGAAAGCUUGCUUUUGAUGGGCGUCGACCGGCGCACGGGUGAGUAACGCGUAUCCAACCUGCCCACCACUUGGGGAUAACCUUGCGAAAGUAAGACUAAUACCCAAUGAUAUCUCUAGAAGACAUCUGAAAGAGAUUAAAGAUUCAUCGGUGAUGGAUGGGGAUGCGUCUGAUUAGCUUGUUGGCGGGGUAACGGCCCACCAAGGCAACGAUCAGUAGGGGUUCUGAGAGGAAGGUCCCCCACAUUGGAACUGAGACACGGUCCAAACUCCUACGGGAGGCAGCAGUGAGGAAUAUUGGUCAAUGGACGAGAGUCUGAACCAGCCAAGUAGCGUGCAGGAAGACGGCCCUAUGGGUUGUAAACUGCUUUUAUAAGGGAAUAAAGUGAGAGUCGUGACUCUUUUUGCAUGUACCUUAUGAAUAAGGACCGGCUAAUUCCGUGCCAGCAGCCGCGGUAAUACGGAGGGUGCAAGCGUUAUCCGGAUUCACUGGGUUUAAAGGGUGCGUAGGAGGGUAGGUAAGUCAGUGGUGAAAUCUUCGAGCUUAACUCGGAAACUGCCGUUGAUACUAUCUAUCUUGAAUACCGUGGAGGUGAGCGGAAUAUGUCAUGUAGCGGUGAAAUGCUUAGAUAUGACAUAGAACACCAAUUGCGAAGGCAGCUCGCUACACGAAUAUUGACUCUGAGGCACGAAAGCGUGGGGAUCAAACAGGAUUAGAUACCCUGGUAGUCCACGCCGUAAACGAUGAGUGCUAGGUGUUAGGCCCUUUCCGGGGCUUAGUGCCGGAGCUAACGCAAUAAGCACUCCGCCUGGGGAGUACGACCGCAAGGUUGAAACUCAAAGGAAUUGACGGGGGCCCGCACAAGCGGUGGAGCAUGUGGUUUAAUUCGAAGCAACGCGAAGAACCUUACCAGGUCUUGACAUCCCGAUGCUAUUCUUAGAGAUAGGAAGUUACUUCGGUACAUCGGAGACAGGUGGUGCAUGGUUGUCGUCAGCUCGUGUCGUGAGAUGUUGGGUUAAGUCCCGCAACGAGCGCAACCCUUAUUGUUAGUUGCCAUCAUUAAGUUGGGCACUCUAGCGAGACUGCCGGUAAUAAACCGGAGGAAGGUGGGGAUGACGUCAAAUCAUCAUGCCCUUUAUGUCCUGGGCUACACACGUACUACAAUGGCUGUAACAGAGAGAAGCAACACCGCGAGGUAGAGCGAAACUCCAAAAGCAGUCUCAGUUCGGAUUGAAGGCUGAAAUUCGCCUUCAUGAAGCCGGAAUUGCUAGUAAUGGCAGGUCAGCAUACUGCCGUGAAUACGUUCCCGGGCCUUGUACACACCGCCCGUCACACCAUGAGAGUUGGGAGUACCCGAAGCCUGUGAGCCAACUGUAAAGAGGCAGCAGUCGAAGGUAGAAUCAAUGAUUGGGGUG